UAAUGUUCAUGUUUGUCACUCUUACUGUGGUGUGACAGUAUGAGCAGCAGCAGAUCUUCAUUCACAGUGUUUCUGUUUUGCAGUUUGCAGCUCGUAAACCGCCUCAGUGUGAUGAUGCAGGCAGGGCGCGACAUCUCCUCUAAAAUGACACUCAGCCUGUUUAAAUGCUCUUUAUUGUCAGGCGUUAAAUCCACCUCCCAACUUUACUGUGGAACAGAAAUUAUAGAAAUCUACUGCCUCUUGUUUGUUAAAAUUUCAUUCCCCUCUCUCCAACCCCUCACUGUUCGCCUGAAUGGGAAAAUCAAACAUCAUAAAAAUUCCCUGUCAGGGAAUCUUCUUUAUGUUGGGUAAUUACACCCAGUGUGUAGAGCCGCUCUGCAAUCUGACCCGCAGACCUGAACGUGACUGGAGGUCGACCCUCCAGUGCUCGCAACUACAAAAACCUCCAAACUGCCCCUGAGAUGUACAUGAAGAACACACAAAGCCUUCGUAUAGCGGCUGUAAACUGCAGAUUAACCACAAUGCAAUCAGUGAUGUCGGUGUGUGAAGGAAUGUGUGGGCUGCGUAGCCAAACAAACACUGCUAGUAGUGUGCAUGCCAUAACUUUAGCUCUAAUAAUUAAAACUGCAAUUAUUUGGAUCAUUUAAUGUGUGAAAGGUUAAAAAGGUAACCGAAAUUUUUUUUUCUCCUUUAAAAAAUGUUUCUCUUGUUUCAUUUAGCAGUUAGAUAUUGUUAUAUUUUUAUUCCGUGUUUAAAAAUUAAAUUGCAUUAUAUGAAUCAACUUCUGCAAACAAGACAACUGAUUAUGAUGAAAUUAACUGAAUUAGCUAUGAUUCUUUGCUGGUUUAUUUGCUGCUGUUGCAGACCUUGAAGGUUUAUAUUAUGAAUACAAAGCAGAGUUUUGUUUGUUUGUGGUUCAGCUCACCAGAGGCCAGCACUAGAGGGCAAAUUCAACAUACCCAGCGUGUCUUUUGGUUGCCUGGCCUCACUAAACUCUACAACCAGUGUUUUGCUAAGUGGUCACAUGAAGCUAGUUUUCAACUCAGGGAUUCCUGAACUUGGCUGUGGGCGCUUUCACAUAAAGAGAUGGCAACAGAUGACCAGCCACAAACAUGGACAGGUCUACUGGCACCAGAGUGAGAAAUUUUACAAACCACAAGUAAAUUAUAAUAUUACAGAAAUAUGAAGAUUUUAAGCACACAAUACAGACUAAAAGUUAUGCAGCUAUGGCAGCCAAAACCGCAGAGAAAACUGUUAAAAAAAAUCCUCUCUGGUUUUAUGUGGGUUAACAGGCUUAUAAAUAUUACAAUAUUGUGUAUUCUAUUAAAUGAUGAUUUUUUUGCCUAGAUGUAUUCUGAAACAGUUAUAGCCUUAAUCUUUCAGCUGACCCUUUGGCAAUGUUAAACAGUUUUGGGAGCAAGUAAAAAAUUAAUAUUCAACUCAUUAUUCAAAGCCUUAAGUAGGCUAACUCUAUCGUAAAGAAGGCUACAAAUAAAUAUGUCCAACUAACUAUAAUCCUAAAUUAAUAUGAGGAGUUUAAAAUCUAAUAUAGGCUAAAAACAGAACAACUGCUGCAGCCAAAGUCAGGAAGUGAAAGUCUGAGUGAAUGUGUAAAUAAUACGCCUAUCAUGCAAUAUCACUGUCCCUUUGUGGAGAAGUUGUUCUGAGAAAGAUUUGGGAUUAUAACACCAGACAACGACACUUAGAACAGUGAAAUAGCUUUUAAAUUGCUUGCAGCUCUGAAACCCUUUCCACUGACUACAUGUACGUUGAGCUUCCUGGGAUCUUCCAGGAACAAUGAUGCUGUUUUCCAAGAGAAAUGAUUGGUGAGUAGAAGAUGGAUAGGAGGAACUACACUAUGAUGCAGCUAGACAGGUGCAGUUCACUCAGACAGGUGUGAUUCCAAAAGUUGGAAAAUACUGAAAACAAUAUGUUAGAUUUACUUAAAUUGUAACUAAGUGAUUUUAUCUGCAUGGACCAUUAUCUUGGGCAAAGUUUUCUAUGAGAGGAAAGCAUUUUAAAUGUCAAUACUGCAGUCGAAACCAAAAUAAGGAUCGUGAUUGACAUUUGUUUAAUUUUGCAGCUGUGUACUGUCUUAGCUGUUGUAAUUGAAUGUCGUACAUUUUCCUCUUCACUGGCUCAGUCAGUACAUCACUGCAAACUGUACCCUCAUCUUCAAGAGUAUCUGAGUCAGUACUUCUCCAUCUCCACCAGCCUCUUUCUCUCUCCCCUCAUUGUUUUUUCAAAUAAUCACCCACAGAUUGCUUCGUCUUUAGAGAAUGCAUAAGCUAAAUGGACUGUUCUUGUGUCAGGUAGUGACAGACUGAAUCUGCAAAGGAGGGCCACUUUCCACCUCUAUGGCUAACAUAGCAGCUUCCCAUGCCAACUGAAGGGACCCCAAAACAGCCUGUUGAUGACCAAGCGCUUGCAUAAAUGGGACCACGUAUAAUUUUAACUCGCACGCUCUCAAAAACGUCUUCCUAUAUGCAAAUCCAGGAGCACAGAAAACGAAGCACUUUGACCUUUUUCCAGUUUUGAGCUCCUGCAGCAGCAGUUCUCAUCCAGGGAGAAAGGCCAGCUGAACACCUUAAGGGCAUUAUCAUAUUUACAGCCUCCCUCUGGGAAGGAAUAUCGAAUUCAGCUCUCCUUGGGUUUAUAGGUGAUAAAAGACCCGUGCUGUCCUGCAGGUUUAUGAUUCCCGCUGCUGGGCUUCAGGAUUCUGUGUUUUCUAUGCAAGUGUGUGUUUUAUCUCUUUAAGCACACUGUGGCUUCGGGCAGAUCAGCUGCUGAUCACUAGUGGAGUUCGCCUCAGGAUAAAAGACCUUUCCCUCUCUGGGCUUUAUGUGAACACACAGCUCCACUAAUGAGGCAGUGGAAAACAUUAGUGUUUGUCCGUCUAACCUUCAGUGUCUGCUGCUGUUCUGUACCCACAAAUGAUUGUUGUCCACUGCCUGAAAAGACAAUAUAUAUAUUCUGGGAAUUGAAUUCCUGAAUGGACAUAGUACCAGUUUACCUCUGUGUUUGUAUUUAGCUCAAAGUGUCUCAGCUAAGGAAUGUUUUCAGUGUGUUUAUAGUGAAUCUUUUCGAAACAGUCAGUCCAAUUCAAGAUACAGGAGUUUCUGGAGGUUCCUGUGACAUGUUCUGCAGCCACGGAAAGAAAGAAAUUCAUGAAGACUGAGAAAGAGUUUCCUGACAUUUUUACUGCAAAAACGAAUCGGGGCGGGGGGGGACCUGCCAAAGAGCCAAGAAAAAUUACAGCUGUUACAGAUAUUGAGCUCAAAAAUGCUAAAUGAAAAGCGAAAGUGAUUUUGAGCUUCAAAAGACAGGACAGAGUGCAGCUGCUUUCCACCUAAAUGUAUUGCGCGUUUACCAGAUUUCCAGAAAAUCUGCAAAAUACAGUGUUGAUUAAAACCAAUAGAACAGCAGGUAGUGCUUCCGCUGAGAAGAAUACAUAGGCGAACCUGUAAUGGUGAAAUCUAUGCGUCAUUCCGUGAAGAUCUGCUGUUUUCAUUCAUCUCCUCAGUAGUAUGAAGCUUCUGCAGAUUUGAAGUCACAUUCUUCAUGUUGGCUCCAAGGACAUUUUAGUAAUUGUUUACUGAUUUACAUUGGUUACUUAUUGUACAGUUUAUUGGCUCAGCUACUUGUUGCCAUAGUUAUUUUAAUGGGAAGCACUCUUUGCCACAGUAAUGUCGCUGUUGCAAACAUCCCUCAGCCUGAAUCAGGCUUUUACAGUUAAAUCUAAAUGUCUCAACAGCUGGAUCCUGCUGCUGUUUGAUGUUGCAGGAAUUUAAUAGAGUUAGAGAAAAAACGACUACAAAUAACUGUAAGCAACAAACUAAACUUUAGCUCCUGUUAGUCAAAACAUGAUUACUUUCAUUAUUAGUGAGUCUCAUUAUUACUCCGCUAAGGGAUGAGGUGGAGUUAUGUAACGAUCAGCGUUGGUUUGUCUGUCUGUUAGCAGCAUUACUCAAACAUGAAAUAACAGAUUUGGAUGAAAUUGUCAAGGACGGUCAGAAAUGACACAAGGACAUUUUGGCAGUGAUGCGUCUUCUAGUCUGGAUCCCUGGAUUUAUUAAAGAUUUAUGUACCAUUGCGAGAUAGCAGCACAGCGCCACUGUAUCCAUGACUACAAGUGAACACUAUGUGAGCUGCCUGCUGAUGAUCACAUGAUUGUGAUCCUACUACAAAUCGACUGCUGUCAACCACAAAUUUUUUAAAGAUUUCAUCCGUCAGAAAUCAUACAACGACUGAGCAGCCUUGGCAGAGCAAUGUGCUCUCUGAGUGCUUUUCUUGCUCUGACCUGUUACAAGCUGCAUUUUUACAAACCCAGUAUCUUAUAUUUCACUUUGUGUUAUGAAAUUGUAGGGCAAAGAGCGAGACUUUGUCUUGCAUGCAUAGCAUUUACACCAUCUUGACCUGCAAGAAGGCAGGAGGGUAUCAGAGUGGCAGAAGAGAUUUCAGGUGUGGUUGUGACCUUCCCUUGGUGGCAACUGUCGUUUUUUCCGAAAACCGAAAACGUUUGCAGUGUAUCAGGAGUUUUGGGGAACUUUUCUUGCUUCCAAUCAGGUGGAUGGGAGCACAUCUUAUGAUUGAUUGCAAGAUAUUCAGAUCUGGGUUGUACAUAUUAGUAUAUUUAGUGUAUCAGUUAAACAAAUGGAAAGACUUUAGUGAUAAAGAAAUAGUGAUGGACUAAUAGUAUUGCAGAGAAGUGUUUUCUAUCAGAAAAUGUUUCUCUGAAAAGUUCACUUUCUGAACCCCAAAAUCAGUUUUCAGGUUUCAAAGGCGCAUUUACUCGACAAAAUGACACUAUUUAUCAGCCCAAAACUGUAAAACAAAGAUAGACUGAACAAUCAGAUUUUCAAUUUUAAUGCAGCAUAGCUCAAAAUCAAUACACAGGAGCAAGUUUUGAAAGAUACGUUCAGCAAAGUGAAACAUGUUUCUACAGCUGAUGACCAGAGUCGUAUGAAAAGGUUUGUAGAGGUGGUAAAAAUGUAAAUGGUUAAAUAUCUGUUACAGUGGUGGAAAAAAGUUUUCAGACACCCUUAAAAUUUUAUGUAUUUUAAAUCUCAAAUAUUAUGAGACAUAUUUGUGGAAAAAUCCUUUUUUGUAUUUCAAAGGUGUGUCUGCAUUAGACACAAACAAAUACAAAGAAUAUUUCUUUUGUUUAUUGUUUCCAAGAAAAACUAACAAAACUGAAUUCUACCAAAAUGACUCAAUACUAAAAAUUCAUAUUUUUUUGGAACCAGUCAAUUUCAAGGCUAAUUUUAAGAUGAUAUCUGAAAAAAAAUUCUACCACUAUGGUUAUUCUUAUCACUUGUCAACAUUUUGAAAAGUUUUUUUAUUAUUAUUUUUUUUUUACAAUAUAGAUAAUCAAAGAAAUGAAACUUUGUAUGGUUUGUGGAAUUAUAACUGCCAUAAGACAUGUCUAUGCUUCUAGUCAUGAUUGUUCUGUUUCCAUAGAGAUGUUACUUCACAUUGCUGUGAGUCCACAGUAAGCAAAAAGAAAAUGCCCAGAAACUGUUUGGGUCAGAGGGUUCAACAAGUUAAAACUGUUAGUUUUGUAAUCAGGGUUGCCUGAUGUUCAGGCCGUUGCAGAUUUAGUAGAAUCAGCUCCUGAUACAAAUUAAACGUGUUGAUUUAGACGUGUGCAUCCACGUAAAAGAGACCUCACAGAUGGAUGCAGAUGAGUUGAAAAUGUGUUUUUUCAUAACUGUAAUUUGUUGGACAUCAGUGAAUGCCGUCAUUCUCUGGGGGAACACAGUUCAGGAGGGGAUUUCUAAAGGAGGUCUAGGACAUGAUCUGUGGAGCCAAAGUCAAUCACUGGCCUCAAAGAAACAAUUAUGCAACUCUCUUCUAUUUUGCCGUCUGUUGUUUCUGUGUGUCCACACUCACAGUCAGACCAGCGCACAGCUCCAAAGCAUCCAAAACUUCACAAUACCACUGCUCUUGUGCCCGUAUCUCCCAUGCGCCAGCUUCUUUUUGGAUGUGGCCGUUUAGAAAAUACUCCAAAGACAUGUCUCAAUCCCACUCUGUUUCUGUAGCGAUUCUCCGACAGAGGGUGAAUACACGGCGUCCAGGGCUCUCCCAGUGCCAGCCACUGCGAGCUGUGCCACAUGCAGAUGGCCCCAAGUGUUGCCAUCCAUCCCCAGCUGCUGUCUGUGGUGGUGCCCAUUACCGGGGCUUAUCACUGGCCCCGACUGCUGCAACAAGAAUCAGCAGUGAGCUGAUGAGCAGCUGUGGCUGGGUGUUUGAUCGCUGCCCCCCCUCUGAGCUGGCUGCAGGAGGCCGGUGUUAACGUGGGGGGUUCAAGGCUGCUGGCAGUCCCACACCAGCUAUUGUUUUCCCCAUUUCCAUCAAGCCUUAAUGUCUUUUUACAAGGACAGAGGAGCAGAAAGCUAACGGAGCCAGAGUAGAAAUAAAUGAAGGCCACAUGAACAGAAGCAGAAGGAAAGAGGAGGCAUUGCUCAACAUUCUGGGACGUAGCUUAUGUGCUUAUUCUUUUUUUGAGAAAAAUGAAAAGAUUGUUUGUGCUUCUGUAAGUAAAACAAAUUCAUUUUUCCUAAUACAUGCCUCAAAGUUAAAGCAGUUUGGCUGGGAUGCACAUGAAACUCCUUUGAUUUCAUCAUGAGCACAGCUUCAUAGAAAACCGUGUAGAAAAUGUAAAAGUUACAAAACAAGAUUGUGAACACAAAAACACGAGGGGAGAAGAUAAAUAGCUGUAAGUGAAAGCUAAACAAGCAUCUGCAGUUUAAACAUGUUCCCAUUUAGAUUUGGGGGGCUGAUGAAAUUUUGCAUCUUUAUUGCUGCAUUUUGACCACAAAUUAGCCAACUAAUGCUGUGUUCAAACCACAGACUUUAUAUAGAGAUGUUUGAACCCUCCGUGACGUCACCCUUAGGUGUCCUGAACAUUGGUUUUUGAAGCUCAGAGUGGCAGCUCUGACCAUCUUCAUCCUGGCUAACUCUCAGUUAAUCCAAAAUAUAAUCAAAAGGUGAACAGUUACAGGUUGUAGAUACAAGAGUUAGAUGUAAAAGUUAAAAUUCCAGGAGCCAAGAAGCUCAUUAAUUCACACUUUGUUUAACCCUCUGAACUCCAAAAUCCUCUAAUGGGUUUGAAGGAAUGUUGUCUCUUAUUUUAAACAUCUUGCUAAAAUGGCACCAUUAAUUUGCCAGACACAAAGAAUAAACUCUGAAUCAUCUGAUUUUCAAUUCUUUGAAGUUGCAUCAGGAAAAGAAGCAAAACCUACAUUUAAUCUUGUGAUAUUUUUUCCAAAUCACAUUGUUCUACAUUUUGCAACCAAAAAUAACAUGUUUGCACCUGAUCCUGUAAAGCAACCAAAAAACAUUGUGAGCUCCUCAGAGCAGCUAAUUCUCCAAGGCUGACUAAACUGUCACCAACAUUCAUAUAAGAAAAAAAUCAGAGUUUUCAGUUGAACUGCAGGCUGUGUUUACAUAGAACAGAAAGGAGAUCAUGAGAGAGAUGGAAAAUAAAACAUUCAGCAUAGUGAAACAUCUUUGUAGGGUUGAGUAGUGUGAAAACAUUUGUAGUGGAUAUAAAAAUGGAAAGAAUUAAAUAACUAUAGUAUGUAGAGCCUCUGCUUUUUUCUCUUUUUUGGAGCCAGUAGGCACAAAACUGUUGGGUAUCAUGAUUGCAGGUCUUUUCGUUUGUUGUAAAUAAAGAUAUUGGACUUCGGCUAGUUUUUCUUUUGUUCUGAUUUGUGCCAUUGUGACUGUCAUACCGCACAGAAGAGCUCUCUGGAUUCUCUCCUUUCAGUUGUUGUUAUGCUGUUUCCAUAGAGGUGCAGGACUUUAUAUAGCCGUUAAAAAUACGCCUAUAGUGAUGAAAAAGGGGAGCAGAAAACACCCAGAAAUUGCUGAAGUUCAGAUAGUUAAUAUGUACAAAAAUAGAAGUGUGCAAACAGCAGCUUGUGGUUUUAGGGUGUUUACCCAGAAAGACUUGAUGGAUAUAACAAAUUACAUACAACAUGUUAAUAAAGGAGGGCUGCAGAGUGGUGUAGUGGUUAGCACUUUUGCCUUGCCGCAAGAAGAUCCCCUUUUGGAUCUUUCUGGGAUCGUUCUGCAUGGAGUUUGCAUGUUCUCCCUGUGCAUGCAUGGCUUUUCUCCGGGCACUCCGGCUUCCUCCCACAGUCCAAAAAUAUGCUGAGGUUAAUUGGUUACUCUAAAUUGCCCGUAGGUGUGAAUGUGAGUGUGAUUGUUUGUCUGUAUAUGUAGCCCUGAGACAGACUGGCGAUCUGUCCAGGGUGUCCCCUGCCUUCGCCCGAGUCAGCUGGGAUAGGCUCCAGCACCCCCCUGCGACCCUAGUGAGGACAAAGCGGUGUAUAGAGAAUGGAUGGAUGGAUGUUAAUAAAGGCUUUUUAGAGUUGUAGUUUUAAGUAUGGCCACAAUCUUGGAACUUUUUUCCAUUGAUGGAAUUGUGUGUUUAACACUUCCUCAGAAGUUCUGUGAACAUCUGAUCUUGAAAUUCUCUUUUUUUUCACUCAUUUUACUUUCUUUUAACAUGUUAAGCGUUUGUGUACUCAGAGGACAGUUUUCCCAUGAAAGGAAACUCAAAGAAAGUUACAGUGAAACACUCCCUCCUCUUUACGCAUGGACUGGUUCUGUAAACUAUCAAACAUUGCUCCCAGCCAUCGCAGAUAAUCACUACAAGACAUGGCACUGCCAGUGUGUUUGCAUUCUGCUUUACAGUGGAUCAGCACAGGGUUUUCAUGAUCUAACUUGGCUCUGAACUAUAUCACAUGAAUAUAAAUUUAGUAAACAGCAGAGGUUACCUUGGUCACACAUAUGGCCUGUGGGCCAAAAUCGGCCUGCCAGAGGGUCCAGUCCGGCCUGCAGGGUGAUUUUGCAAAGUGUAACAAUUACAGAGAAGACAUUAACUGCAAAUUGUAAAUUUGUGAAACUGUAAAUGGUACAUAAUUUGUAGACCUGAAGUCAUUUUCAAUAUAAAGUGAAAUACUAGAUUGUAAGCUGUAAUGUGUAAAUGACAAACUGAGUCAUAGUAUUGCUAAAAUUCAGCCUAUUUUCUUAAGAAAUUUCAGGUUAGUAAUGUUUGGUAGAAAAAUAAUUCAUUUAAUGUGAACAUUUUCAGAAUGUACUUUUUUGCACUAAAAAGGGAAAAAUUGGGAAUUGUGGUUAUUUAUGAGUUAUUUAGUUAGGAUUUUACUGGUCUGGCCCACGAGAUCAAAUUGGGCUGUUUGCGGCCCCUGAACUAAAAUGAGUUUGACACCUCUACCUUAAACCCACUGACAGUUCCAUGAUGGUUGCUUCACAAAUAUGAUGAUUUUGAGUUGUAAUUAUUUAUAGACUUAAACUUUUUCAGAGCUCUCAAAAAUUAUACUUUAAAAUUUUUUUCAAACUUUUUUUAUUAUGAUUGAGUGAACUGAAACUAUAAAUAAUGUUAACAAUGCUGAAUGUAUCGUCUAAUAACUUACUCCUUUGUAUACUGUUUUGAGACAUUUUUUAAACAAAAUUUGCAUCCCAGUAUGUUUUAUUUUCCUCUCAGUCUCUAUCGUGUAGUCUUAUCUCUGCUCUGUAUGAACACAACCUGCAGUUCAACUGAAAAUUCAGAAUUUUUAACCGUUGACUACAGCUCAGUCAUUUAUAGAGAAUUGUUUGUGGUGAGGAGUGCAGAUUAUUUUUUAGUUUUUACAGAAUGCUACACAAACACUUUGAAUUAAAAUUCAAAUGUAAGAUUUUAAUUAAAUCCCGCCAAUUUUACAUUUGGAUAAUUAUUCUGCUGAAACUGUAUCAUAAAAUGCAUUCAAUGACUGUUUCUAUCUGUUUGUUUUUUUGCAGUUUCUUGCAAGCAAAUGGUUAAGAUGGGGUUCAAAUGGUUCUUUUCUCUUUUUGACUUUGGAAAAAUCUGAGGGAUGCUGUUUUGUAGCUUUGUGCAUGUUUAUUUUCUGUCUCACUGUGUUUAUUUCAUCAUAGAUUUAAAGUAAAUUUGGAGUUAAUUCCAAGAGUAACGGCUUCGUAGUUGUGCUGAGGAACUUUUAGUUUUUUACAGGAUCUGGGGCAAACACUUUAAUUUUACUAUCGCACAUGGUACAUUCAGUGGCAAUCUGAAACAUGAAAAUCUGACAAUUCUAUUUUAUUUUAAUGAUUUCAAACCUUUAACAUGGAUGCAGAUUUUGGAGAUGUUGCAGUAUGGAUGUUGUCAGUGUCAUUUUUUCUUUACCGUGGGCACCACAAAGGACAUCAGUUCUGCUGACCUGUGGUGGAUGUUUCUUCCUGCUCAGCUCAGUUUUGAAGCUACAACUUGCUCAUAAUUGGCGUUCGUGCUGCAGCUCUGGUACGUCACCACACCAGCUCUGUGUGGGGCCUCAUGCGUGCCCGCCACCACCUGAGCUUAACCUCACCUCUCAGGGUUGAACUCGCUCUCGUCACGUCCCCCUCCAAUGAGUCUGCGGUGGUCCUUCGUGGCGGCAUAGAACAGCUCCCCUCUUCACUGAAACACGUCUCCUGUUUCCUCUUAACUGGUUCCAGCAGUGCAGCAGUGUUUGUCAUCCAGUUGGUAAUGAUUUAAACAAGCUCGGGGCCUCCCUUCUCCUCUCCGUUCUCACACCGGCCUUUUCUUCUCAUUCCUGUUCGGCUAAUCGUCGUCACAGCCGGGCUGGAUUGGAGGGAGGACGACUAUUUGCAAUCUUGUGUUCUCGUUUUUCUCCAGAAAGCAGUUCAAGACUUAAAGCACAAGAUGCUUGUGAUGGUUGUGGGUGGUCCUCUGAUCACCUUGGAAUCAGAUUUAUUAUAAUAAUACAUUAUGAUUAUAAUGACAUCAAUAUGAAGUGAGUACACCCCCGUGCACUCUCACACCUGUCUGUCGCCAGUAUUUAUAUGUCUUCUACUUCUACUACUUCUACUUUUCUCUGAAAUACCCCAAAGUCAGGUGACAUAUUUGACCAGGUCAUCGUUUCCAGUUUGUUCUUUAUAAACUUUUUGUGCUUUAAAUCAUUAUCAUGCUGGAAUGUUCCUUUUCUGCCAAGCUUCUGUAGAUUGGAUGUCAUCUUGUCCGCCACUAUUUUGGAAUAUCCACAGGCAUUGAUGACCUGUCCUUAUAUCAUCACACUCGCACCUCCAUGCUUCGCUGUCAGGACGAUGUAUUUGUUGUAGUAGCCCUGGUCAGAUUCAUACUAAACAUGCUGGACCCCAUCCAAGUCGAGCAAAUUUAUCUUGACCUCAUCUAACCAAAGACUGCACUCCCAACAUUCAUCAGGGUUCUUUUCAUGUGUAUGUUUUUUUUUUUUUAGAAGGUUUGAAAAUUCUAUGCAAACAGCAAGUAACAGUUUUGUUCUUGAUGCUGUCCAUAGAAGUUGAUAUCAAGAACCGUCUGAUCUGUCGCAGAAACUCUGAUUUCUAUUGAUAAUCCCUGUGUCAAGCCUGAAGCAGCUGCCUGUGUGUCUUUUGUGAAAGUAGUGCACUGCUUGUGGCGUCAUUUUAGGAGGACGACCACUUUGGCUCUGAUUACCCCGUGAUUACUGCUGCAACUGUGUUUGAUUUUUACGUUAGUCGGUAACAAGUCCUUCUGUAUCCUCUUCCAUCUUUUUUCAAAUUUCACAAUCCGAUGUUUCAGUUCCUCGGGCAAUUGGAGGCAUGAUGUAGACAUGCAGAUAGACACAGGUUUUCCCAGCUCAUUUUAUAAUAUAUACAGCACCCUCCAUAAUUAUUGGCACCCCUGGUCAAGAUAUGUUCUUUAGCUUCUAAUAAAUUCAGUUAUUUUCUAAGUGAUAUAGGACCACAAUGGAAAAACAGAGGAAAAUCCAACCUUUAAUUAAACUGCAUUUAUUCAGUGGGGGAAAAAAAAUCACACAUUAAGAAAUAAUUCUUUUACAUCAAAUCAUGUGUGCCACAAUUAUUAGCACCCCUGAUGUUAAUACUUUGUACCACCUCCUUUUGCCAACAAAGAGCACCUAUGCUUCUCUUAUAAUACAUUUUUCAACAAUUUUCAGUGUGAGAGUGUGCUUCUGCAAUAAAAAUUGAAUUUAUUUUAAGGUUUUCAACACAUCUUAACCAGGGGUGCCAAUAAUUAUGGAGGGCUCUGUACGCUCAUGCAGUUAGCCUAGUUGGAAAUCACAGAUGUACACAACAUUACCACAAAGAAACACAACACAACCAUGAACAGAAAAUUGCCACAGGGAGAUGCAAAUUGACCACAAAGAGACAAAACAACCACGAGAUGAAUGAUAUAAUUUUGAGGUCUAUGACAUUUAAAUAUUUAUUGUACAGGGGUGUAUUCAUUCCUGUUUGCUGUAAUUGACUGCCCAGCACAUGGGCACUUGUAAAAGGCAAAUUUUUCAUCUUUCCAUGGCCUAAAGUCCACAAAAGUGUUGAAGGCAGAGUCAAGCCAGGUCUUUCACUCUGUUUCCAGUCUUUGUGCUAAGCUAAUGGCUCAUAGACUUCAGGGGGGUAUCAGCCUUCUCAUCUAACUUUUGGCAGGAAGUUGUAUUUCCCAUCCAGCCAAACUAUUCUUUAAUUUGAGAUCUCUUUUAAUAAAAACAGAGAUUUUGCAGAGAAGUUUACAAGAUGAGGAAGACUUGAGCCUCUGAGGAUAAAGCACUGGUCACCAGUUGGCCUACAUUUGUGUUUUCCUUCUCAGUUUCUCUCCCUUGAUCCCCUCUUGCCCUCCUUUUUUUGCUACCCACUGUGCAUCAUUGAUCCUCCCUUCAUCCGUUCUAUCUCCACUCAUGGUGUCAGCAGGGUUUCUGGAGGGUUUAAAAAAUGUAUUUUUAAGACUGUAGUAUCACAUACAGUUGUGUUUGUUUUGUCAUUCUUCAUGAUAAGAUUUAAACAGUAAAGACUGAAAAUGGUUAAUAAUGACAGGAUUGUGCUGACAUUAAUAUCUCAUUGUUUUGAGAACUUUGCAGCUAUAUGUAGUAAUUAACAUUCCUGGUUGACAUAAUUGAUCAAUAGCAGGACCCAGACCUGUGAUCAGUGGCCUGAGGAGCCAGGUGUUAGGUUUCUUUUUUAAAAAAAGUCAUAGAGCUCUGUUAAGACAGGCACAACUAAUCCCAGUAUUCCAAAAAGCAACGUAAAAUGGCCACAAAAAGACACUAAAUAACCAUAAAGAGACGCACACUGACAAUGAAGCAAUGCAAAACAACAGACAAGAUGCAGCAUGAUU